GGGCCCGUAGCUCAGACGGGAGAGCGCCGCCUUUGCAUGGCGGAGGUCGCCGGUUCGAUUCCGGUCGGGUCCACCA
rnacentral:tRNA from 1 species